rnacentral:lncRNA from 1 species
UUCAUCAGUUUGUCCCCCGUUUCUUCUCUAGCCUGAGCCUGACACACUAUUCUAGCUAGACAUGGGUGUGGCUCGUAACACCUAAUGACCAAACGGAUCUACGGCACCGUUGAAUCUCAAACUUUAACUGCCAAAACUAUUGUUUUUCAUUAUGUAGUCCCUUUUAAAUUACUAAACGUCAUUUUUUGGGCUGAGAUAUCCAGGAAAGCUUUCUCGGGGUUUGUGUGCACGUAUUUCAAAUCAUACGGACCUAAAAAUUAGAAGUCAUUCCAUAUUUAUUCCCCUAGAGCCUUCCAGAAAUUCCUAAACCGCUCCAGUUGGACCACGUUAUCAUUCUUGUUAGUUCUGAGUGAAUUACCUCAGUAUGAUCAUUCUUUCAUCAGUUUGUUCCCCGUUUCUUCUAUAGUCUGAGCCUAGCACACUACUCUAGCUAGACAUGGGUGUGGCUCGUAACACCUGAUGACCAAACAGAUCUACGACACCGUCAAAUCUCAAACUUUAACUGCCAAAACUAUUGUUUUUCAUCCUGUAGUCCCUUUUAGAAUUACUAAACGUCCUUUUUUGGGCUGAGAUUUCCAGGAACGCUUUCGCGGGGUUUGUGUGCACGUAUUUUAAACCAUACGGACCUAAAAAUUAGAAGUCAUUCCAUCUUUAUUCCCCUAGAGCCUAACACACUAUUAUAGCUAGACAUGGGUGUGGCUCGUAACACCUGAUGACCAAACGGAUCUACGGCACCAUCGAAUCUCAAACUUUAACUGCCAAAACUAUUGUAUUUCAUCAUGUAGUCCCUUUUAGAAUUAUUAAACGUCCUUUUUUUGGGCCGUGAUUUCCAUGAACGCUUUCUCGGGGUUUCUGUGCACGUAUUUCAAAUCAUACAGACCUAAAAAUUAGAAGGCAUUUCAUCUUUAUUCCCCUAGAGCCUUCCAGCAGUUCCUAAACCGCUCCAGUCGGACCAUGUUAUCAUUCUUGUUAGUUCUGAGUGAAUUCCCUCGAUAUGAUCAUUCUUUCAUCAGUUUGUUCCCCGUUUCUUCUCUAGUCUGAGCCUAGCUCACUAUUCUAGCUAGAUAUGGGUGUGGCUCAUAAUACCCGAUGACCAAACGGAUCUACGGCACCAUCGAAUCUCAAACUUUAGCUGCCAAAACUAUUGUUUUUCAUCCUGUAGUCCCUUUUAGAAUUACUAAACGUCCUUUUUUGGGCCGGGAUUUCCAGGAGCG